rnacentral:lncRNA from 1 species
UGAAAUGUUUCGUCCCAAAUUUACUCUCUCAUUGCCCUUCAACCUUUUCUUACUUGUGCACAAGUCUUUUAGAAAUUUUGCAUACUUUGGAACCUGCUUAAUAACAUCAAGUAGCGGAAUGUUUACCGCAACCUUUCGGAAAACAUCCAGUAUCUCUCUUUCUUUGUCUCCCUCCUCAAUUCUUUUAUUUUUCAGAACUCUAUGUGGGAAGGGGACUGGUG